rnacentral:rRNA from 1 species
GGUGCCCGUACCGCAAACCGACACAGGUAGGUAGGAAGAAGAUUCUAAGGCCAACGGGAGAAGGGUUGUUAAGGAACUCGGCAAGUUGACCCCGUAACUUCGGAAUAAGGGGUGCUCACGAGAGUGAGCCGCAGAGAAUAGGCCCAGGCAACUGUUUACCAAAAACACAGGUUUGUGCUAAAUCGAAAGAUGACGUAUACGAGCUGACGCCUGCCCGGUGCUGGAAGGUUAAGAGGAGAUGUGCAAGCAUUGAAUCGAAGCCCCAGUGAACGGCGGCCGUAACUAUAACGGUCCUAAGGUAGCGAAAUUCCUUGUCAGGUAAGUUCUGACCCGCACGAAUGGCGUAACGAUUUGGGCACUGUCUCAACAGCCCGCCCGGCGAAAUUGUAGUACCGGUGAAGAUGCCGGUUACCCGCGACAAGACGGAAAGACCCCAUGGAGCUUUACUGUAGCCUAAUAUUGGGUUUCGAUGUUGCAUGCACAGGAUAGAUGGGACACUGGGAAGCAGGUGCUUUGGCGCUUGUGGAGUGGCCGUUGGGAUACCAUCCUUGCGAUAUUGGAAUUCUAACCUGCGCCUUUGAAUCAAGGCGGGGGACAUUGUUAGGUGGGCAGUUUGACUGGGGCGGUCGCCUCCUAAAGAGUAACGGAGGCGUUCAAAGGUUCGCUCAGCUUGAACGGAAAUCAAGCAAAAGAGUGCAAACGCAGAAGCGAGCCUAACUGCGAGACUGACGGGUCGAGCAGUAACGAAAGUUGGAGUUAGUGAUCCGGUGGUAUGUGAGUGGAAAUGCCAUCGCUCAACGGAUAAAAGUUACCCUGGGGAUAACAGGCUGAUCUCCCCCAAGAGUCCACAUCGACGGGGAGGUUUGGCACCUCGAUGUCGGCUCAUCGCAUCCUGGGGCUGUAGUCGGUCCCAAGGGUUGGGCUGUUCGCCCAUUAAAGCGGUACGCGAGCUGGGUUCAGAACGUCGUGAGACAGUUCGGUCCCUAUCUGUCGUGGGCGCAGGAUAUUUGAUGGGAGCUGUUCCUAGUACGAGAGGACCGGAGCGGACGUACCUCUGGCGCACCAGUUGUUCUGCCAAGAGCAUAGCUGGGCAACUAUGUACGGAUCGGAUAAACGCUGAAAGCAUCUAAGCGUGAAGCCGACCCAAAGAUAAGAUAUCCCAUUGUUUCAAACAAGUAAGACCCCUUGAAGACUACAAGGUUGAUAGGCACGAUGUGUAAGUGGAGCGAUCCAUUCAGCAAGCGUGUACUAAUAGGUCGAGGGCUUGACCAC